rnacentral:rRNA from 1 species
UACGAAGGGUGCAAGCGUUAUUCGGAAUUACUGGGCGUAAAGCGUGCGUAGGUGGUGAGUUAAGUCUGAUGUGAAAUCCCCGGGCUCAACCUGGGAAUGGCAUUGGAUACUGGCUCGCUAGAGUGCGGUAGAGGGUGGUGGAAUUCCCGGUGUAGCAGUGAAAUGCGUAGAGAUCGGGAGGAACAUCUGUGGCGAAGGCGGCCACCUGGACCAACACUGACACUGAGGCACGAAAGCGUGGGGAGCAAACAGG